ACCCAGAGAAGCCAAUUCUCUUCCUGGCUCAGAAGUGGGAGGAGCUGCACUUGGGAUUCCUACUGUGGGGUGUUGAGAACCAGCUCCCAGGCUCUGCAAGAUGAAAACCAAUCCUAGAGUUAAACCAAGAUGUCAGGCCGUCUAGGGAGUGGGAAUGAGAAGGAAGCCCAAGUUAAAACAAAAAUGGCCUCGAGGCCGGCUUUCUUUCCUUACUCAAUCUUGCGACUUUCAGAAGAGCCAGCUAUGUGACCAGCAAGGGCACAUGACGUUCACUUUAUGAAUCAAAUGUCCCCCCUGGUGGCUCCAACAGGACCAGGAUGAGGCACCACAGGGCAAGGCAUCAGAGGACUGCUCAAACCCAGGGGCCGCUGUGUGGCUGACCGCAGGAAUGUGAAUGGGGUUGCCAGGUGUGUGACUUGAAAGCCAUACUGGUGCACCAAGGAUCUUCAAGGUGUGCGACAGAGUUGAGGAUGAAAGAGAAGAUGGCCCAGGAGCUGGUGGUGCACACCUUUAUUCCCAGCACUCAGAAAGCAGAAAGUUCUCUCCAACUGUGAACUGAGGUUUCUGAAAGCAAACCUGCAGACUGAUGGACUCCUUAGAACUUCCUGAUUGUGGAAGGUGAGAAUGUUGCAAAGCUUUGGCCAACAUCAUCUUGUGACAUUGUUAGUUCUCUCAAUAGCCAUUACUCACCUUCCUCUGCAUCCGACCUAAGACCUGUGGGACGAUCAGGAAAGACUUUAGAAAUGUAUUAACUUAGCCGGCCAUCAUCAACCCCAAGGGCAAGAAUGUCAUCAGAGAACAUCCGAGACCUACAACAGGAUCUCCCACUUGGCUGCAACCUCAUGUCCCAGCAAUGCUUUGAUUUGUGACUGCCUUGUGUUUGGUAACUUUAUAGGUUCAGGUCACCACAUGCAUGGUGGAACAUGCCAUUCAAGGCAAUCUGAGUCUGUGUCACUCAUAUUUGGUUUGGAAUAAAAUCUCUCUUAUCCCCUUUGG